rnacentral:rRNA from 1 species
UACGAAGGGUGCAAGCGUUAAUCGGAAUUACUGGGCGUAAAGCGCGCGUAGGUGGUUCAGUAAGUUGGAUGUGAAAUCCCCGGGCUCAACCUGGGAACUGCAUCCAAAACUGCUGAGCUAGAGUACGGUAGAGGGUGGUGGAAUUUCCUGUGUAGCGGUGAAAUGCGUAGAUAUAGGAAGGAACACCAGUGGCGAAGGCGACCACCUGGACUGAUACUGACACUUAGGUGCGAAAGCGUGGGGAGCAAACAGG